rnacentral:rRNA from 1 species
GACAGAGGGUGCAAACGUUGUUCGGAAUUACUGGGCGUAAAGAGCGUGUAGGCGGCCAGAUAGGUCUGCUGUGAAAACUCGAGGCUCAACCUCGAGCUGUCGGCGGAAACCAUCCGGCUAGAGUCCGGAAGAGGAGAGUGGAAUUCCCGGUGUAGCGGUGAAAUGCGCAGAUAUCGGGAAGAACACCUGUGGCGAAGGCGGCUUUCUGGGCCUUACCUGACGCUGAGACGCGAAAGCGUGGGGAGCGAACCGG